rnacentral:rRNA from 1 species
CAGUAGCCACGGUAAUACGUAGGGUGCAAGCGUUAAUCGGAAUUACUGGGCGUAAAGCGUGCGCAGGCGGUUAUAUAAGACAGAUGUGAAAUCCCCGGGCUCAACCUGGGAACUGCAUUUGUGACUGUAUAGCUAGAGUACGGCAGAGGGGGAUGGAAUUCCGCGUGUAGCAGUGAAAUGCGUAGAUAUGCGGAGUAACACCGAUGGCGAAGGCAAUCCCCUGGGCCUGUACUGACGCUCAUGCACGAAAGCGUGGGGAGCAAACAGGAUUAGAUACCCCCGUAGUCCCUGUCUCUAAUAA